AACGAACGCUGGCGGCAUGCCUAACACAUGCAAGUCGAACGAGACCUUCGGGUCUAGUGGCGCACGGGUGCGUAACGCGUGGGAACCUACCCUUAGGUUCGGAAUAACUCCCCGAAAGGGGUGCUAAUACCGGAUAAUGUCUUCGGACCAAAGAUUUCUCGCCUUUGGAUGGGCCCGCGUUGGAUUAGCUAGUUGGUAGGGUAAAAGCCUACCAAGGCGACGAUCCAUAGCUGGUCUGAGAGGAUGAUCAGCCACACUGGGACUGAGACACGGCCCAGACUCCUACGGGAGGCAGCAGUGGGGAAUAUUGGACAAUGGGCGAAAGCCUGAUCCAGCAAUGCCGCGUGAGUGAUGAAGGCCUUAGGGUUGUAAAGCUCUUUUACCCGGGAUGAUAAUGACAGUACCGGGAGAAUAAGCGCCGGCUAACUCCGUG
rnacentral:rRNA from 1 species